rnacentral:rRNA from 1 species
GGGUUGUGAGGUUAAGCGACUAAGCGUACACGGUGGAUGCCCUGGCAGUCAGAGGCGAUGAAGGGCGUGCUAAUCUGCGAUAAGCGCCGGUAAGGUGAUAUGAACCGUUAUAACCGGCGAUACCCGAAUGGGGAAACCCAGUGUGAUUCGUCACACUAUCAUUAACUGAAUCCAUAGGUUAAUGAGGCGAACCGGGGGAACUGAAACAUCUAAGUACCCCGAGGAAAAGAAAUCAACCGAGAUUCCCCCAGUAGCGGCGAGCGAACGGGGAGGAGCCCAGAGCCUGAAUCAGCAUGUGUGUUAGUGGAAGCGUCUGGAAAGGCGCGCGAUACAGGGUGACAGCCCCGUACACAAAAGCGCAUGUGCUGUGAGCUCGAUGAGUAGGGCGGGACACGUGGUAUCCUGUCUGAAUAUGGGGGGACCAUCCUCCAAGGCUAAAUACUCCUGACUGACCGAUAGUGAACCAGUACCGUGAGGGAAAGGCGAAAAGAACCCCGGCGAGGGGAGUGAAAAAGAACCUGAAACCGUGUACGUACAAGCAGUGGGAGCACNNNNNNNNNNNNNNNNNNNNNNNNNNNNNNNNNNNNNNNNNNNNNNNNNNNNNGGGCGUUAAGUUGCAGGGUAUAGACCCGAAACCCGGUGAUCUAGCCAUGGGCAGGUUGAAGGUUGGGUAACACUAACUGGAGGACCGAACCGACUAAUGUUGAAAAAUUAGCGGAUGACCUGUGGCUGGGGGUGAAAGGCCAAUCAAACCGGGAGAUAGCUGGUUCUCCCCGAAAGCUAUUUAGGUAGCGCCUCGUGAAUUCAUCUCCGGGGGUAGAGCACUGUUUCGGCUAGGGGGCCAUCCCGGCUUACCAACCCGAUGCAAACUGCGAAUACCGGAGAAUGUUAUCACGGGAGACACACGGCGGGUGCUAACGUCCGUCGUGAAGAGGGAAACAACCCAGACCGCCAGCUAAGGUCCCAAAGUCAUGGUUAAGUGGGAAACGAUGUGGGAAGGCCCAGACAGCCAGGAUGUUGGCUUAGAAGCAGCCAUCAUUUAAAGAAAGCGUAAUAGCUCACUGGUCGAGUCGGCCUGCGCGGAAGAUGUAACGGGGCUAAACCAUGCACCGAAGCUGCGGCAGCGACACUGUGUGUUGUUGGGUAGGGGAGCGUUCUGUAAGCCUGCGAAGGUGGCCUGUGAGGGUUGCUGGAGGUAUCAGAAGUGCGAAUGCUGACAUAAGUAACGAUAAAGCGGGUGAAAAGCCCGCUCGCCGGAAGACCAAGGGUUCCUGUCCAACGUUAAUCGGGGCAGGGUGAGUCGACCCCUAAGGCGAGGCCGAAAGGCGUAGUCGAUGGGAAACGGGUUAAUAUUCCCGUACUUGGUGUUACUGCGAAGGGGGGACGGAGAAGGCUAUGUUGGCCGGGCGACGGUUGUCCCGGUUUAAGCGUGUAGGUGUGUGUUCCAGGUAAAUCCGGUUCACUUUAACACUGAGGCGUGACGACGAGGCACUACGGUGCUGAAGCAACAAAUGCCCUGCUUCCAGGAAAAGCCUCUAAGCAUCAGGUAACAUCAAAUCGUACCCCAAACCGACACAGGUGGUCAGGUAGAGAAUACCAAGGCGCUUGAGAGAACUCGGGUGAAGGAACUAGGCAAAAUGGUGCCGUAACUUCGGGAGAAGGCACGCUGACACGUAGGUGAAGUGAUUUACUCAUGGAGCUGAAGUCAGUCGAAGAUACCAGCUGGCUGCAACUGUUUAUUAAAAACACAGCACUGUGCAAACACGAAAGUGGACGUAUACGGUGUGACGCCUGCCCGGUGCCGGAAGGUUAAUUGAUGGGGUCAGCGCAAGCGAAGCUCCUGAUCGAAGCCCCGGUAAACGGCGGCCGUAACUAUAACGGUCCUAAGGUAGCGAAAUUCCUUGUCGGGUAAGUUCCGACCUGCACGAAUGGCGUAAUGAUGGCCAGGCUGUCUCCACCCGAGACUCAGUGAAAUUGAACUCGCUGUGAAGAUGCAGUGUACCCGCGGCAAGACGGAAAGACCCCGUGAACCUUUACUAUAGCUUGACACUGAACAUUGAGCCUUGAUGUGUAGGAUAGGUGGGAGGCUUUGAAGUGUGGACGCCAGUCUGCAUGGAGCCGACCUUGAAAUACCACCCUUUAAUGUUUGAUGUUCUAACGUGGACCCGUUACCCGGGUUGCGGACAGUGUCUGGUGGGUAGUUUGACUGGGGCGGUCUCCUCCUAAAGAGUAACGGAGGAGCACGAAGGUUGGCUAAUCCUGGUCGGACAUCAGGAGGUUAGUGCAAUGGCAUAAGCCAGCUUGACUGCGAGCGUGACGGCGCGAGCAGGUGCGAAAGCAGGUCAUAGUGAUCCGGUGGUUCUGAAUGGAAGGGCCAUCGCUCAACGGAUAAAAGGUACUCCGGGGAUAACAGGCUGAUACCGCCCAAGAGUUCAUAUCGACGGCGGUGUUUGGCACCUCGAUGUCGGCUCAUCACAUCCUGGGGCUGAAGUAGGUCCCAAGGGUAUGGCUGUUCGCCAUUUAAAGUGGUACGCGAGCUGGGUUUAGAACGUCGUGAGACAGUUCGGUCCCUAUCUGCCGUGGGCGCUGGAGAACUGAGGGGGGCUGCUCCUAGUACGAGAGGACCGGAGUGGACGCAUCACUGGUGUUCGGGUUGUCAUGCCAAUGGCACUGCCCGGUAGCUAAAUGCGGAAGAGAUAAGUGCUGAAAGCAUCUAAGCACGAAACUUGCCCCGAGAUGAGUUCUCCCUGAGACUUAGAGUCUCCUGAAGGAACGUUGAAGACGACGACGUUGAUAGGCCGGGUGUGUAAGCGCAGCGAUGCGUUGAGCUAACCGGUACUAAUGAACCGUGAGGCUUAACCUUACAACGCCGAAG